GAUGAACGCUGGCGGCGUGCCUAAUACAUGCAAGUCGAGCGAACGGACGAGAAGCUUGCUUCUCUGAUGUUAGCGGCGGACGGGUGAGUAACACGUGGAUAACCUACCUAUAAGACUGGGAUAACUUCGGGAAACCGUAGCUAAUACCGGAUAAUAUUUUGAACCGCAUGGUUCAAAAGUGAAAGACGGUCUUGCUGUCACUUAUAGAUGGAUCCGCGCUGCAUUAGCUAGUUGGUAAGGUAACGGCUUACCAAGGCAACGAUGCAUAGCCGACCUGAGAGGGUGACAGGACACAGUGGGACGGAGAGACGGCCCAGACUCCGACGGGGGGCAGCAGUGGGGAAGAUUGCACAAUGGGAUGAAGCAUGAUGCAGCAACGCCGCGUGCGGGAUGACGGCCUUCGGGUUGUAAACCGCUUUCGCCUGUGACGAAGCGUGAGUGACGGUAAUGGGUAAAGAAGCACCGGCUAACUACGUG
rnacentral:rRNA from 1 species